GGAAGUGUGGCCGAGCGGUUGAAGGCACCAGUCUUGAAAACCGGCGACCCGAAAGGGUUCCAGAGUUCGAAUCUCUGCGCUUCCGCCA
rnacentral:tRNA from 1 species